AAGUGGAGAGAUCCCAGCUCAACCUUCAGCAAAGCCAGAAGGGAGCCAGAGAUCCACUUCAUCCUUCCAACAGACACCAAGUGGAGAGAUCCCAGCUCAACCUUCAGCACAGCCAGAAGGGAGCCAGAGAUCCACUUCAUCCUUCCAACAGACACCAAGUGGAGAGAUCCCAGCUCAACCUUCAGCACAGCCAGAAGGGAGCCAGAGAU